UUUCCCUGUCCAGUCUAUCAUCGAUGGGCAUUUGGGUUGGUUCCAGGUCUUUGCUAUUGUAAACAGUGCCGCGAUGAACAUAUAUGGUGUGCAUGUAUCUUUCUAAUACGAUUUAUAAUCCUUUGGGUAUAUACUCAGUAAUGG